rnacentral:lncRNA from 1 species
GCGAUGGCCUAUGUCCCCGCACCGGGCUACCAGCCCACCUACAACCCGACGCUGCCUUACUACCAGCCCAUCCCGGGCGGGCUCAACGUGGGAAUGUCUGUUUACAUCCAAGGAGUGGCCAGCGAGCACAUGAAGCGGUGGUGGUAAAUGGAAAUCCCUUCUAUGAGUACGGGCACCGGCUUCCCCUACAGAUGGUCACCCACCUGCAAGUGGAUGGGGAUCUGCAACUUCAAUCAAUCAACUUCAUCGGAGGCCAGCCCCUCCGGCCCCAGGGACCCCCGAUGAUGCCACCUUACCCUGGUCCCGGACAUUGCCAUCAACAGCUGAACAGCCUGCCCGUGAGUGGGAGGGCUGGGAGGGCCCCGGGUGAGGAGUGGGAAUGGUGAGAAUUGGGGUAGGGGGAGCUAAGAGGGGUUGCAGCCCAAGGUGUACUAACCCAGCACCUAGAGAAACGCCGGAGUCUAAUGGGUGUGUCAUAGAUAUCUGUCGACUCUUGGAGAAUAAUAUCGCUUCUUCCUCACUUCACAGACCAUGGAAGGACCCCCAACCUUCAACCCGGUAUGGCUUGGGGAAACAGAGAUGGAUGGUGGGGAGGGGGCACGGAUCUCCAGGGAAUCUGAGACAGCCAGAAAGGGAGUGGGCUGAGGGUUUUGGGGUGGGAGGUAGGGGAAGGGUAGAUAGAGUUCGUGGUCAGGUUUAGGGAGCAGAAGGAAUUGGGGAUGUUUUCCAGGAGGAGUGGGACCUCUCAGAAAAUUUGUUCUUGGGCUGGACAUGGUGGCUCACGCCUGUAAUCCCAGCACUUUGGGAUGCCAAGGCGGACAGAUCACGAGGUCAGGAGAUCGAUCGAGACCAUCCUGGCCAGCAUAGUGAAACUCUGUCUCUACUAAAAAUACAAAAAUUAGCUGGGCAUGGUGGCGCGCGCCUGUAAUCCCAGCUACUCAGGAAGCUGAGGCAGGAGAAUCGCUUGAACCAGGGAGUCGGAGGUUGCAGUGAGCCGGGAUCGUGCCACAGUACUCCAACCUGGUGACAG